rnacentral:rRNA from 1 species
GGAGGUAUCAGAAGUGCGAAUGCUGACAUAAGUAACGAUAAAGCGGGUGAAAAGCCCGCUCGCCGGAAGACCAAGGGUUCCUGUCCAACGUUAAUCGGGGCAGGGUGAGUCGACCCCUAAGGCGAGGCCGAAAGGCGUAGUCGAUGGGAAACGGGUUAAUAUUCCCGUACUUGGUGUUACUGCGAAGGGGGGACGGAGAAGGCUAUGUUGGCCGGGCGACGGUUGUCCCGGUUUAAGCGUGUAGGUGUGUGUUCCAGGUAAAUCCGGUUCACUUUAACACUGAGGCGUGACGACGAGGCACUACGGUGCUGAAGCAACAAAUGCCCUGCUUCCAGGAAAAGCCUCUAAGCAUCAGGUAACAUCAAAUCGUACCCCAAACCGACACAGGUGGUCAGGUAGAGAAUACCAAGGCGCUUGAGAGAACUCGGGUGAAGGAACUAGGCAAAAUGGUGCCGUAACUUCGGGAGAAGGCACGCUGACACGUAGGUGAAGUGAUUUACUCAUGGAGCUGAA